ensembl:lncRNA
AAUGUUGGGGCUUCUGCAGAUGAUUCUCUAGUUAUGGAUGUGCUUGCAGUUGUUGACUUUACGUCACCUGUUUUAGGUAAAGAUGAUGAUCCCUCUGUUUUUGGUGCUGCUGUAGUGGGAGCAAAUGUUGAUUUUGUUGUACCAGAUGCUCUCAAUGUAGUCAUUCCUGCUGAUGAAGAACCAGUGUCAGCAUGCGUUGUAGGUUCUUGUGUCACUCUUUCGACAGUGGUGGAGACUUCUGAUGUUACUGGCUUUACUGACAUUAAUGUUGUAGUUUCCUUUUGGACUGUUGAGGGUUCUUUUGUGACUUGAAAUGUCACUGGUACCAAUGUUGAAGCUUUGGGUGCAGUAGUAGACUCUGCUAAGCUUGUUAUCGAUGUUGUUGUGACUGUAUCUACUGCCACGGAAUGUAACACAGUAGAUGAACCCACAGCUAGUGUGUUCUUGGUUGAUUCUGGUUCAUUGCUAACAGUUGCUGCUGUGGUUGAGCCCAGUGCUGUUGCUGGCAAUGCUGAUGUCACUCCUGCUGAUGCUGCAGUAGUUGCACUUAUUGUUCGUACCAACGAUGUUGGGGCUUCUGCAGAUGAUUCUGUAGUUCCGGAUGUUCUUGCAGUUGUUGUCUUUACUUCACCUGUUUCAGGUAAAGGUGAUGAUCCCUCUGUUUUUGGUGCUACUGUAGUAGGAGCAAAUGUUGAUUUUGUUGUACCAGAUGCUGUCAAUGUAGUUAUUCCUGCUGAUGAAGAACCAGUGUCAGCAUGCGUUGUAGGUUCUUGUGUCACUCUUUCGACAGUGGUGGAGACUUCUGAUGUUACUGGCUUUACUGACAUUAAUGUUGUAGUUUCCUUUUGGACUGUUGAGGGUUCUGGUGUGACUUGAGAUGUCACUGGUACCAAGGUUGAAGCUUUGGGUGCAGUAGUAGCCUCUGCUAAGCUUGUCGAUGUUGUUGUGACUGUAUCUCCUGCCACAGUAUGUAACACAGUAGAUGGACCCACAGCUAGUGUGUUCUUGGUUGAUUCUGGUUCAUUGCUAACAGUUGCUGCUGUGGUUGUGCCCCAAACAGUUGCUGGCAAUGCUGAUGAUGCUCCUGUUGAUGUUAAAGUAGUUGCACUUGUUGCCUCGGCAGCUGUAAAAAUCGCAUUAGAUGAUGGUAUUUUUGUUGCUGGCGGUGCUGUUUCUGAUGCAGACACUGUUGUUUCAUUUGGUGUUAUUGAAACUGUUUUGGUUGUUAAAGGUUCUGUUGUGACUUGAGGUGAUGAUGACUCUGUUAUUGCAGAUUGUACUGCAUUGCUUGACACUGCCUCUGUUGUAGAUAGUGUUUGUGUAAGCUGAAUUGUUGUCACGGCCCCU